GACGAACGCUGGCGGCGUGCUUAACACAUGCAAGUCGAACGGACAGGCCCUGCUUUUGUGGGGUGCUCGAGUGGCGAACGGGGGAGUAAAACGUGUGUAACCUGCCCUUGACUUUGGGAUAUCUUCAGGAAACUGGGGCUAAUACCGGAUAGGAGCUACUGCUGCACGGGGGGGGUUGGAAAGUUUCGGCGGUUGGGGAUCGACUAGAGGCUUAUCAGCUUGUUUGUGGGGUAGUGGCUUACCAAGGCUUUGACGGGUAGCCGGCCUGAGAGGGUGACCGGCCACAUUGCGCCUGCGGUACGGCCCAGUCUCCAACGGUCGGCAACAGUGGGAAAUAUUGCACAGUGACCGCAAGCCUGUUGCAGCAACGCCGCGUUCGUAAUGCCGUCCUUCGGGUUGUAAACCGCUUUCUCCUGUGACGAACCGGUAUUGACGGUAAUGAGUAAAGAAGCACCGGCUAACUACGUG
rnacentral:rRNA from 1 species